rnacentral:rRNA from 1 species
GAUGAACGCUGGCGGCGUGCCUAAUACAUGCAAGUCGAGCGAACAGACGAGGAGCUUGCUCCUCUGACGUUAGCGGCGGACGGGUGAGUAACACGUGGAUAACCUACCUAUAAGACUGGGAUAACUUCGGGAAACCGGAGCUAAUACCGGAUAAUAUAUUGAACCGCAUGGUUCAAUAGUGAAAGACGGUUUUGCUGUCACUUAUAGAUGGAUCCGCGCCGCAUUAGCUAGUUGGUAAGGUAACGGCUUACCAAGGCAACGAUGCGUAGACGACCUGAGAGAGUGAUCGCCCACACUGGAGCUGAGACACGGUCCAGACUCCUACGGGAGGCAGCAGUAGGGAAUCUUCCGCAAUGGGCGAAAGCCUGACGGAGCAACGCCGCGUGAGUGAUGAAGGUCUUCGGAUCGUAAAACUCUGUUAUUAGGGAAGAACAAAUGUGUAAGUAACUAUGCACGUCUUGACGGUACCUAAUCAGAAAGCCACGGCUAACUACGUG